CGGUGGCUUUUUCGGUCUUCAAACCCGUGGUGAGGCAUCU
rnacentral:tRNA from 1 species